AGCCUGUUCUGAUAAAAACCUUGGGGCAUUUAGCCUCGGGGGAUGCCUUGCUUGACCACACCCUCCUUCCUUGCUCCUGGCCUGCCCUGCCUCUUCCACCAAUCCAUUUGUCUACUGAGAUGGCAUGCAGCAUUCUAAACAAUGGCGGCCGACCGUCGGGAGCACCGGGACAUUUCCCGGUGGCCUGGGGGUCGUUUUGGCCUGCCGUGAAUAGUCAACUUGACCAGCGAUAAUAUAGCAAGCAGGAAUGAGUUGACGGCGAAUCCACUCAUCAGGCGCGACUCUCACUCUCUCGCUGCAGUGUCCCCGCGCCAAAAAUGACAUCGGGUCUCUCCGCGACGCACAUAGCAACCGUCUACCUGCUUCUCUACCGAUAACAUUUUAGACAAGUCGCACGGCGAAAUGGACAGGCAGAGAGGGAGAGAAAAAAGAGAAAGGACCUUUCCACAGACGCAGCUAAAUGCUGCAAAAUAAGCUACAUGUUCACCAGUGGAGAAGGAAGCAGCAGCAGCGCUAGAGCUUCAGGUGGUCCUGCAGGACUGGAGAUGGUGUCAUCUUCUCCUCCACUCAUCUUCCCCUCCACUCACCUUCUCCUCCACUCAUCUUCACCUCCAGUCAUCUUCUCCUCCACUCAUCUUCUCCUCCACUCAUCUUCUCCUCCACUCAUCUUCACCUCCAGUCAUCUUCUCCUCCACUCAUCUUCACCUCCAGUCAUCUUCUCCUCCACUCAUCUUCUCCUCCACUCAUCUUCACCUCCAGUCAUCUUCUCCUCCACUCAUCUUCACCUCCACUCAUCUUCUCCUCCAGUCAUCUUCUCCUCCACUCAUCUUCUCCUCUACUCAUCUUAUAUAUAUUUUAGAGGUCGUAAGUGACUGAUGGAAAUGGAGACUAAUUGAAGGGAAAGCCAUUCGGGAUGUUUCCCUGGGUAUUCAGAGGGAAUGAGGAAAAGAUAUGGACAGUUUCAAUUAGACGCCCUGCCACUCACCCUAGCCAACAGCCCCCAUCAGGUCUCAUGGAGUUUAACCCUGGUGUAGAGGUGAAGACCGUGAUGCCAUACAUUACUAACUAACUCGC
rnacentral:lncRNA from 1 species